GACGAACGCUGGCGGCGUGCCUAAUACAUGCAAGUAGAACGCUGAAGGAGGAGCUUGCUUCUCUGGAUGAGUUGCGAACGGGUGAGUAACGCGUAGGUAACCUGCCUGGUAGCGGGGGAUAACUAUUGGAAACGAUAGCUAAUACCGCAUAAGAGUAGAUGUUGCAUGACAUUUUCUUAAAAGGUGCAAUUGCAUCACUACCAGAUGGACCUGCGUUGUAUUAGGUAGUUGGUGGGGUAACGGCUUACCAAGGCGACGAUACAUAGCCGACCUGAGAGGGUGAUCGGCCACACUGGGACUGAGACACGGCCCAGACUCCUACGGGAGGCAGCAGUAGGGAAUCUGCGGCAAUGGACGGAAGUCUGACCGAGAAACGCCGCGUGAGUGAAGAAGGUUGUCGGAUCGUAAAGCUCGGUUGUAAGAGAAGAACGAGUGUGAGAGUGGAAAGUUCACACUGUGACGGUAUCUUACCAGAAAGCGACGGCUAACUACGUG
rnacentral:rRNA from 1 species